rnacentral:rRNA from 1 species
AGUGAACGCUGGCGGUAGGCCUAACACAUGCAAGUCGAACGGCAGCACAGUAAGAGCUUGCUCUUACGGGUGGCGAGUGGCGGACGGAUGAGGAAUACAUCGGAAUCUACUUUUUCGUGGGGGAUAACGUAGGGAAACUUACGCUAAUACCGCAUACGACCUACGGGUGAAAGCAGGGGAUCUUCGGACCUUGCGCGAUUGAAUGAGCCGAUGUCGGAUUAGCUAGUUGGCGGGGUAAAGACCCACCAAGGCGACGAUCCGUAGCUGGUCUGAGAGGAUGAUCAGCCACACUGGGACUGAGACACGGUCCAGACUCCUACGGGAGGCAGCAGUGGGGAAUAUUGGACAAUGGGCGCAAGCCUGAUCCAGCCAUACCGCGUGGGUGAAGAAGGCCUUCGGGUUGUAAAGCCCUUUUGUUGGGAAAGAAAAGCAGCAGGUUAAUACCCCGCUGUUCUGACGGUACCCAAAGAAUAAGCACCGGCUAACUUCGUG